AGCGUGGGAGCAAACAGGAUUAAUACCCUGGUAGUCCACGCCCUAAACGAUGCGAACUGGAUGUUGGUCUCAACUCGGAGAUCAGUGUCGAAGCUAACGCGUUAAGUUCGCCGCCUGGGGAGUACGGUCGCAAGACUGAAACUCAAAGGAAUUGACGGGGGCCCGCACAAGCGGUGGAGUAUGUGGUUUAAUUCGAUGCAACGCGAAGAACCUUACCUGGCCUUGACAUGUCUGGAAUCCUGCAGAGAUGCGGGAGUGCCUUCGGGAAUCAGAACACAGGUGCUGCAUGGCUGUCGUCAGCUCGUGUCGUGAGAUGUUGGGUUAAGUCCCGCAACGAGCGCAACCCUUGUCCUUAGUUGCCAGCGAGUAAUGUCGGGAACUCUAAGGAGACUGCCGGUGACAAACCGGAGGAAGGUGGGGAUGACGUCAAGUCCUCAUGGCCCUUACGGCCAGGGCUACACACGUACUACAAUGGUCGGUACAGAGGGUUGCAAUACCGCGAGGUGGAGCCAAUCCCAGAAAGCCGAUCCCAGUCCGGAUCGAAGUCUGCAACUCGACUUCGUGAAGUCGGAAUCGCUAGUAAUCGCGGAUCAGCUAUGCCGCGGUGAAUACGUUCCCGGGCCUUGUACACACCGCCCGUCACACCAUGGGAGUGAGUUGCUCC
rnacentral:rRNA from 1 species